rnacentral:rRNA from 1 species
ACCUCAGGUCAAGUAAGAAUACCCGCUGAACUUAAGCAUAUCAAUAAGCGGAGGAAAUCACGAAUCCUG